CUGCAGCCCGAGUAGUGAUCGUUAUUAUUGGGCCUAAAACGUCCGUAGCCUGUUUGGUAAAUGCUUGGGUAAAUCGUGUGGCUUAACCAUACGAAUACCGGGUAGACUGCCAGACUUGAGACCGGGAGAGGUUGGAGGUACUCCUGGGGUAGAGGUGAAAUUCUGUAAUCCUGGGGGGACCACCAGUGGCGAAGGCGUCCAACCAGAUCGGGUCUGACGGUGAGGGACGAAGCCCUGGGGCGCAAACCGGAUUAGAUACCCGAGUAGUCC
rnacentral:rRNA from 1 species